UGAACAACAACUCAAGAAACCAAGCUCUAUCGAAUGCCUUGCCUACUGUAGUAAGAGCCAAAAUUGUGUGUAGCAGUAAGGUCUCUAGGUCUCCCAUCUAGCAUUCUUUUUCUUUUCAGAAGCUGGCUCUCUGGGGCUACUUCCUCCCAUGACAUACCUCUGCAUGCAUGAUCUCAGUUUGUGUUGUCCCAUCAAAGACCAUUACCACUAACUCUAUUGACCUGCAGUUGAAACUUACUAAAGCUGCUCACGCUGUGAAAUUUGGAAUUUAACAGUCCUGGGCUUGUGUCCUGGUGUUUCCACUUACUACUUGGUAAGUUGUAAUUUACUGGUAAAUUCUUUAAUCUCUGUGAAUAGAUCUCAAGUAUAAACAAUGAUUAACAAUACCUGUCUAGAAUCGUGUAAUACAGUGAAGUGAGAGCAAACUGCAUGGAGCAUUCUGAACACGAAUAAAUGUAAAUUUCAGCCUUCACUGUCCUUGAGGGCACGCCUUCUGGUGAUGGGCAUUUGUCCACAUGAAUUCGGUGUUCUUAAGUUUUUCUAGCACCUUCUUUUAAAAGCAAC
rnacentral:lncRNA from 1 species